rnacentral:lncRNA from 1 species
CCCCCCGAGGGCCCUAGGGUUGUUUUCUCGCAGGGACCGAUGCGAGUAUGGCCGAAUUCAGCCAGAAACGGCCGAAAACAGCCAACCCGAGGCGAAUCGCCGCCGCCAGCGGCGGUGCCGUCGCCGGAGCACGGCGGAGCCGCCGUGCCGGAGUUGCGAUAUUGGCCAAAAUGGGCCCUGGGCCUAAUUUGGGAUUUUUUGGAACACGUGCAGGUACCAGUAGUGCGUUUCAGUUCCCCGAGAAAAAUUCAGGGAAAAUUAAGGACAGCCUGUAGGUGCACUGUGAAGCCGUAUUCGGACCCCGAAACGUGUAAGGACCCCUCACCUUAUUUCCUAUCACGGUUUUAAAGUUCAAUAAAUGAUAAAACGGUAUUUCAUGAAUCAACGAAUGUGUGAAAUUGCUUAAGGUCGCUAAUGGAGCCCAAGUCUAGUGUAUUUGUCGGUUAACUGUUAUUUGGCCUGUUUUACAGUUUUAAAUGCAGCAUGAG